rnacentral:rRNA from 1 species
AGCGAACGCUGGCGGCAGGCUUAACACAUGCAAGUCGAGCGGGCAUCCUUGUGGUGUCAGCGGCAGACGGGUGAGUAACGCGUGGGAACGUGCCCUUCGGUUCGGAAUAACUCAGGGAAACUUGAGCUAAUACCGGAUACGUGCGAGAGCAGAAAGGUUUAUCUGCCGAAGGAUCGGCCCGCGUCUGAUUAGCUAGUUGGUGAGGUUACGGCUCACCAAGGCGACGAUCAGUAGCUGGUCUGAGAGGAUGAUCAGCCACACUGGGACUGAGACACGGCCCAGACUCCUACGGGAGGCAGCAGUGGGGAAUAUUGGACAAUGGGGGCAACCCUGAUCCAGCCAUGCCGCGUGAGUGAUGACGGCCUUAGGGUUGUAAAGCUCUUUUCUCCGGGACGAUAAUGACGGUACCGGAGGAACAAGCCCCGGCUAACUUCGUG